UACGUAGGGCGCAAGCGUUAUCCGGAAUUAUUGGGCGUAAAGAGCUCGUAGGCGGUUUGUCGCGUCUGCUGUGAAAGACCGGGGCUCAACUCCGGUUCUGCAGUGGGUACGGGCAGACUAGAGUGCAGUAGGGGGAGACUGGAAUUCCUGGUGUAGCGGUGAAAUGCGCAGAUAUCAGGAGGAACACCGAUGGCGAAGGCAGGUCUCUAGGCUGUAACUGACGCUGAGGAGCGAAAGCAUGGGGAGCGAACAGG
rnacentral:rRNA from 1 species